AGAGUUUGAUCAUGGCUCAGGACGAACGCUGGCGGCGUGCUUAACACAUGCAAGUCGAACGGAAAGCGCUUUUCGGAGUGACUCGAGUGGCGAACGGGUGAGUAACACGUGGGUGAUCUGCCCUGCACUUUGGGAUAAGCCUGGGAAACUGGGUCUAAUACCGGAUAGGACUACGAAUCGCAUGGUUUGUGGUGGAAAGCUUUUGCGGUGUGGGAUGGGCCCGCGGCCUAUCAGCUUGUUGGUGGGGUGAUGGCCUACCAAGGCGACGACGGGUAGCCGGCCUGAGAGGGUGUCCGGCCACACUGGGACUGAGAUACGGCCCAGACUCCUACGGGAGGCAGCAGUGGGGAAUAUUGCACAAUGGGCGCAAGCCUGAUGCAGCGACGCCGCGUGAGGGAUGACGGCCUUCGGGUUGUAAACCUCUUUCAACAGGGACGAAGCGUAAGUGACGGUACCUGUAGAAGAAGCACCGGCCAACUACGUGCCAGCAGCCGCGGUA
rnacentral:rRNA from 1 species